CAGCCGGGUGGUGAGUACAGAACGAACUUUUCUUUCACUUUUUACUAAAGAAUACCGUGUGCGCACCACAUUAAGUGGCAUGUGCCAAUUUUUUGGAGGGUCUCUCACAAAAGAAGCC